AACACCAAGUUGGGUUUGUGUCUACAUUAACUGGAGAUGCAGUGACAACAUCCUGCUCUUUGGCUACCAUGUUGGAAGUAAGUUUUCUUCACUGAAAUUACUAAUUAGAUGCAAUUCAAGUACAGUCUUUACUGCUGUGCAUGAUACUACACUUGGAAUAAUAACAUUGUCCAGAUGAUGCUUUUCUCCUACCUGGGUAACCCGCACUAGGAAAAUUUUUUUGUGUUUUUUUUUUUUUUUACUGCACUGGGAAAAAUUUUUGUUUUUUUUUUUUUUAAAUGCACAACUUAUUUCCCUGCUUCUAAAGUGUUUCAAUAGUAUCACAGGUGUUUGACAAGGAAUGUCAGAAGAAUGGAAGUGAUUUGUAAUGUUGGACACUACUGGAAAGGACAUUCCAAUCCUGCUUCUAAAGCCUAAGAAUGUUGGGGUUUGCCAUUUUUCCUGUGAUCCACGUGCCAGCAGCAUCGCUCUGAGCUUCGGAUCUGUGCCUGGAGUCCUGACUGGCCAGAGAGCAGGAGGAGAACAGGAGACAGAGCCUGCCCCCCAUUCCUUAUUCCUUGCUAGGAUAGUGCUACAGCAAAUGGUUCUCCGAAGGCCACAGGAAAGGAUAAUUCCCACACAACUGGACACUGGAGCCAUCCUCGCUGCUGCUUGUUUUGAGCAUUCAUUUCUGCUACACGUGCUCCACAAACCGAGGUCAAAAUGGGUUUUUGCUUCCUAUCAGCUGAAUUGAGGAGAUUUUUAUUGAAGUGAGCAGUACAUCUAUCUACUUUUAGCCCGUGCACAAACUGCUUCAUAACCUGCUUAAUUACAAGCUAAAGUUUCUGUGGCCUUUCACUGCGUGGCAUAUUCUUCACUUUCUUCAACUUUACUGUGGUUGCCACAGUGAUGUUUCCUCAAGUACCAAUACCCCAUCCAGAAAGGGACAUGUAGUAAUAGAGGAUUUCCAAUAACAUUUGGAAAUGGCAUUUGAGCAGUUGGCCUUGUGAAGGAGAGGUGAGAAAACUGUGCUUUUCUUCAAUCUUCUGAUCUAUUUCAUUGCAAUAAACACCAGACUGUUGGGAAUUGUGCUGCA
rnacentral:lncRNA from 1 species